rnacentral:rRNA from 1 species
UACGAAGGGGGCUAGCGUUGCUCGGAAUCACUGGGCGUAAAGGGUGCGUAGGCGGGUCUUUAAGUCAGGGGUGAAAUCCUGGAGCUCAACUCCAGAACUGCCUUUGAUACUGAAGAUCUUGAGUUCGGGAGAGGUGAGUGGAACUGCGAGUGUAGAGGUGAAAUUCGUAGAUAUUCGCAAGAACACCAGUGGCGAAGGCGGCUCACUGGUCCGGUACUGACGCUGAGGUGCGAAAGCGUGGGGAGCAAACAGG